CCUGGUGACCAUAGCGGAGGGGUUCCACCCGUUCCCAUCCCGAACACGGAAGUUAAGCCCUCCAGCGCCGAUGGUACUGCCCCAUUUACGGGCGGGAGAGUAGGUCGUCGCCAGGC
rnacentral:rRNA from 2 species